UUGGAUUUGAACUGCUAUGGUCACAUAAGAGCACUAAUGAACCUUGUCUAAUGCUCCACACGAAUUUUCAAAUGGGACAGUGGGAGUAAAUAUAUCAAUACUGCUCAUCCUAACAAAUCUAAGGGAGUAUUUCAGAUUUGGUGUCCCACCAUAUUUUUGUCAUUUGUCCCUAACAACCAUUCCUCUUCUCCUCCACACGAAUUUUGAAACUUCUUAUAUCUAAGCUAUAGGCUUGUUGAAAAGGGGAGAAUUCAUACAUACACAAAAAUAGAGAGGAACAACCAUUCCAUACUCUCUGUUGCCUCAAUCUUAAGCCAUCAACUUAAAAGGUUAGUCAAUUAGUAUCUAAUAACUUAAAAAAGUUUGUUUAACUGAAUAUUUUUGUAUGGCUAUAUAUCUUCAAAAAUGUUUUCUGCAAUGACUUUUUCCUCUUCUUUAUCCUGAUGAUGUUUUAUGUAUGGCUAUAUCUGCAAAACUAUUUUCUGCUAUGACUUUCUUCAGUUUCAUUCUAUUCUUACUUCAUCAGUUGUAAUUUGACAUGUUACUGUCUCAUGUCUCAAGAAACUCAAGUGAGAAAUAGACUUUUAAAGAGAAGAAGACAGAACAUAAAUUCCAAGACAAAAUUUACUAUUUUUCAAACCUCUUAAAUUAUAAUUCUCGGGCUGCUGCUGUUGUUGACUGUGAAAUGAUGCAGAAAGUUGGAGAAAUGAACCACCUAAGUCAAAAUAUUGAGACACCAUUUCUUGAUUCUCUUUUAACUAAGUUGAUUUCAGGAAACUCAAUUCUUGAAUACUCGAUCGGAUCAAGAACAAGUUGAGAUGUAUUUAUGUCCAGUAAUACAACUUCUGAACUUAUAGAAGAAGAAGAUGAUGGUGAACAAGAAGGAUUAUUUGAUACUGAAAUAGGGUUGUUGGUAUUCAAGAAAAGUGACAAUUUAACAGUACCAGCAGGAGAAUGAAACAAAUCAGUGGAAGAAAGGCUAAAAUCUUGAGUGGUUUUUCCUUUACCAAUAACUGAAGAAUUAGGUACUAAAGCAAAUCCUAAGAGUUGAUCUUACAUU
rnacentral:lncRNA from 1 species